rnacentral:lncRNA from 1 species
GAGAGUGAAAUUUCCCCUGGAAUUUGCAAGCCUUCAAUAAACUCCAGAGUUUCAAAAUAGUUACAUCAGAUGGAGUCUGCUAGUGUUAGGUAUGCAGAAGCAGUCCAGGCAGUACAAUCAGCCAAAACUGAUUAUGAAUUCUGGUUAUACAGCUUCCCAGCUGGGGAACCUUGAGCAAUUCAUCCACCUCUCUGGGCCCCGGUUAUGAAUAAAAUAUAAAAGAAAAUGCAGGCCACAUGAGUUUUGCAGAGCAGACGUAGAAAGCAGAGAAUGAAAAAAAGAAAAAGAGGAGAGAUCUGAAGCCAGAAUGGGCGUCAUGCAAGAGGCUCUAGAGUUGCAGACAGUUGCAGCCCAGAUACGACGUGCAAAGAGAGACAUCCCAGAUCUCCCACACAGAACUCCGGCGCGCUUUGAAGUGUUGACAACACAUAAAAUUAAAAGCAUCACAAUGCGAAUUAUCACGUUGUUUUUUCCACUUUGAUAGCCUCUACAAAGCAUUUUAUACCGAUGAAUCAAUACAAAUGUCUCUUUAUAAAGACAUUGGAAACAAAAAGAUACAUUUUUUUUUUUCCUUAAGAGAAACCGACACAACUAACAAAAAGAUUUCAGCCCUGGCUUGCAGGAUAGCUCUAGGUAACAUAGUGAGUUUGUCUCUCCUUUUCACAGUGGCCUUGGAGGUCACUGCUGUCUACUUGCUUGGGUCAAUCAUUCAGCCUCCGGAUGAAUGUUCUGCCUGCUGAUUAGUCAGCACCAUGAGAUGAGACAAACAAGCCACAAUUGCAUUGCUAUUGCCUCCUGACUGCACACACAUGUGUGUGCACAUGUAUAAGAAUAUAUACAGUGUGUGUAAAUAUAUAGAGGCGUGUGUGUGUGUGUGUGUGUAUUUUGUGGUUUGGUAAAAUAAAGCUUGCAAAUUAGGAUUAAUUUAUAACUCGUUAUAAUUGGAUUAUUGGCUGGGACUCCCUUUAUGUUACAGCAGAUGGACUUUUGCGUGAAAUAUUUUCCCUGAGUUGCUAUAGAGAUGUGCCAAGAUCUCUCUGCUGAAGUGAUUCCCCGCAGGCCUGUUUGUUGUUGUGCCCGGUGCCGAAUCACUUGCAGGCUGAAUCACUUACAGCCCUCACAGAGGCUGAUGAAAGAG